UAACUCUGAGGACUCUCUGUUCGCAGGUUUUUUAUGAGGCCAGAUGGUCGGCUUCAUGCUCACGCUCACAGCGCAUGGCCUCUCAUGAAGCCUAUGACUCAGCCUGCUUGACUGCUAUAGCACCAUAGCUCUUAGUGGGAACCAGUCCUGGUCCAGUUGCUAAUUAAAGUGUUUCAGUUCCUCUCACCGUCUGCCGGGUCAGAAAUACAUUACCGGAGCUGCCGAGCUUGGUGUUUUCUUUCCUCAGGGAAAUAUCAGGAACCGAGAUUUAAAGAGGCCUUCAGGAUUAGUUCACCGUGGCACUCUCUACAAGGUCCACACUUAACUGUCGAGUUGGGUGAAGGAACCUGAUCCCCAGAAGUAGCCUCUACAAGAUCUUGUGAAACUUUUUCACGGGUUCAGGGCUUCACACUUACUCAACUCAGGUGACAUGCAUUGGGGCCCUGACUUCCAACCAGCCACACUCACAUUGCUACUGCUGCUCAGUACUCAUGAGUAACAUGUUCAUCACAU